UAUGUUUCAAGCAUUCAUAUGAUCAUGUAAGCCUACCAAUACAACUAUAUGCAUCAAUUAGAAAACCAUUACUCUUAGACAUAUAGGCGACCUAGUCGCUUCGGUGAGCACAACCCACCUCAAAAUGCUUUCCGAUUGCUUGUAGUCACUUGCAAUCGGCCUCCCGCGGCACCCGGCACCUGGUUUGGCCCGAUCUCUCGCGCGACCACCCGAACG
rnacentral:lncRNA from 1 species